CUCUCACUCACCUCGUUCCGUAAAGGGUCGAGCUGGUAGACGUUCUGCAGCUGAUUUCUUAGCCGCAUAGCUAUCGCCAUCGGACCUUGCUCCGCCAUCUUUGGGAAUUCUGCAUACUUCCGGGUAACGGGAGAGUGGACAUCUGAUGGGGUCAUCGCACAUCUGAGUGACAGCACCUUCCUCCACAUACAAAUCACGCCUUUGGGGAGGACAGAGCUCUGAUGAUAGUUGAACACAUCAAAGAGAAAAGACAGAGGUGCCGAACCCUUUGGCGUACCGUGGCAUUUAUUUCUUCACCGUAUCUCAGACAGUUUAUGGACAGGAUUUAGUAUGUCUCCUGUUGGCAAAAAAGCGAGUAAAAAGAGAAAAGAAAAGGAAAAGACUGCCAUGCUGAUUUCAGUGCCCCUGGCCUAGACCUGUUCACCCAAAUCUCCAAAAACAACCAAACAAACAUUCAUACCGGAUAGGAGGCUCGCCUGCCAAGUCAUGCCAGAGUGAGGCCCUCUGUUUGGUGCACACAGACUUUUGCCUCCCCCUGUCCCAGAGCAAUCAGAGCAUGUAGGGACGGACACCGAGCUUUUUGUUUUCGCCUGCUCCAGCAAUUAGCUGCCAAGUGGUAAGCUAAUGAAGAUAACCUCCUCCAAGCCCUGAUCAGAAACCAGGGCGCUGAUGACAGCUCAAAACACAAAGACUCUUAUGGGAAAAAGAGGGGGUAGUUUGGGACCAUUUUAUUGUUAUAAUUCUGGUUUUCAAAACAGAUUGUUAAAACUAAAUUCUGAUCCAUCAAGCCAUAUUUAAAGAGUUAUUUUAAAAAAAGUACACGUGUGUAACUGUGACUGCACAUCAUUUUAAUUCUAUAUUAAUUUUUCAGGUUAUAUAACAGUUUACAGUUACCUGUAUACAUCAAGAGGCACAACUGAUUUGCUAUUGCUUUGUUUUUGGGUAUUACUUCUUAGGACAUUGCAUGACUUGCAAUACAUAGUUGACAAGUACAAUACUGGCUGAUAUAUUAAGUCCUUAAAAUUACAAUAUAUAUAUAUAUAUAUAAUUUAUUAUUUUAAUAUUUUACAUCAUUUGAAUGAAUAAGUGUAUUAACAGGCUCUUUGAAUGUGUAGUCAGAGCCACUUAACUCCAUCAGCUCCUAUACCCUGAUGAGUUGAUUGACAUGCUAGCUGUUGAAUAGGGAAUGAGCAAAGUUGUAUUUCUGUGACCUGGAUAAGUGAACUGUGAACUGUGAACAACACACAUUUGACCAUUCUUCCUGUUAUGUUCCAUAUCUAAUGUUUUAAUUGUUUAUUUAAAUAUUCACAUACUCUCUUAUGGUAAUCUGCCCUCAAAACAAGACAGUCCAUAAAGAUUUGGAUUGUUUUAAAUAUAAUGAACAGACAGUUUUUUCCCCACCAGUAGGCGCUAGAGCCGAGAAGUGAAGCCUCAUGGGCAGCUGAUUAUUCUCAAUUAUUUUGUAACUGCAGUUCACCUAGACAAACUGCCCCGUCUGUAUGUCUAUUCUCUAAUGACUGGCAAUAUUCCUGUAAUUUGGGUGUGUCAGCAUAUCCUGUCUGGUACACUCUGAAGCCAUGCAGCCCAGUGUGAUCAGUGAGUGUGGGCCAACUAGCUCUAAAAGGUAUAUUUUUGGAACGCAUGAUAUAAAUUCAGUACUUCACAGAACCAAUUCAGGUGCAGUACUAGAUACAAAGUAAAACAUUGAAAGCCAAACUAAGAAGGCAGGUAAGGUCUUGAAACACUUUGCAUAUUGUAUACAUUACCUGUAUAUUUGAACUGGUGUAUUUAAUUGUAAAUGUCCAGAGAAAAACACCAGAGUUAUAAUGAAAAUGUCAUAAAAUGCACUCUAAAAUGCUGGGUUAUUUUAUUUAUUUUUUAAUCCAAAUGUUGGGUACUUAUUAUUGUGUUGUUUUUAAUAUUUAUACCCAAGUGUUGGGUCAUUUUAACGCUUGGUUAUUUUUUUCUACCUAACUGCUGGUCAAAACCUCUCAACACUGCAGUUCAGGUCAUAAACCCUGCCCUCUCCAUGUAAACGAAUGGGACAUGAGUUAAUAUUAAAAAUAAAAAAAUUACACUUCCAAUACAAUUUUCCGAAAGAUGUUUUGGUCAUUUAAGGUAGUUGUCAUCACGCUGAUAUAUGUUCAGUUGUUUGUUUUUGUGAUAAGUUUGAUUUUAGCUAGUAAUUUGAUGCUUUAAAAUGUGGCAUGUCGUUAUGGUUGAUUAGGUCUGUAGGAGUUUGAUACAGACUCUGGCUCCAGAUGACAUCUUUUACUCAAGAUGGUAGCGGCCAUACUGAGAUGCUUUGGCUAUAGUGGAAGGAAGUGGAGACGCGUCGUCCAUCUUUUUUUUACAGUCUAUGGCUAUUUAAGUCCACAUAAGAGAGCUGUCUGCCAGUUUGUUGCAUUCUUUCCGGGAAAUAAAGGUUUUGGAAUCAGUCACGCCAUCUCAGCUAUGAGUGAAACGCAGCAACAGUAUGUUUUCACACGUAGCGAGCGCAGCGGAAUGAGUGUCUUCAAUUAAUUCCUAUGGAACUUUAGCUUAAAUGCUUGCGCAUUGCAUUAUGGGAUUGAAAUCAGCACAGAGAAAGUGUUGAGAGUUGACCAUUCCUCGACUUGAAGAUGAAAUGCAAACAGGGUGUAAUGUAAACAUAGUUUUCUGAGGCGUGCUCUGCCCUAAAUUUGACAUACCCCAAAGCAGUGGCGUUGUAGCAUUGCCAGCGGCACUGAGGGAGAUUUGACGCCGUAGUGAAAUCGCAGCUCCCCCGUGAACAUCAGCACUUCACCGGCUCCGAUUUCGGCGACACACCGGCAUGAGGAUUAGCACUCUUUCAGUAAAAAGCAAUUAUAGAGAACGGUUCAAUACACUUAAAUUAGAAUGCCAUUUUUAAAUGUGCCUUUUUAUUUCUAAAAUGGUUGUUAAACGAUCAAUGGUUUAUAUGUAAUAUUGUAAACUAUGCUGUAUUCAUUGCAAUAAAUUCAAUUUGUCUUUUGUCCAUGGGAG